AGAGCGGUUUUGUGAAAGACGAAAAAGCCUUCCUGUUCACUCUUGUGAAUCCAACUGGAGCUCCCCCGACAAACUUCCACAAACUGCAGACAGCGACGCUGGGAUUUGGUGUAAUUCGAAUUAUGGUGCUGGUUUCGGUUCCGCCAAUGGAUGCACUAUAGCAUUCCUGAAUAACAGCAAUGCUAAUUCCGCAAAUUGCACAAUUGGCGAUGCUUAUGGUGGCUUCGUGUGUCCUGGAGAAGGUGCAUUAUCUAAAUUUAUUUCUGGUAGUACAAGUUUCAACAUGAAUUACUUUGAAGUGUUUGGUUUAAAAGAUGCUUGAGUUUUAAUAAGAUUGUGG